CUAUCUUUCAACAUCUUUGCCCAACAUGUAGAAAUAUGAUGAAAAUUUCUACAUUAAAAUUCUGGUAGUCUCUUGAUGCAUGAAAGAAAUGUUUGCGGUAUGAGGGGAGUUGUGACCCCAGUUUGAAUCUUGCUUUGCCACUUGUAUAACCUGAGAAAGUUCCCAUCUCAUUUGGGGCCUCAGUUUUUCCUCUGUAAAAAUAAAGGGCAAGGUAGGCAUACCUCAUCAGCAGCAUGCCUCUGCUUCAGGGGAACAGGUUGACGGCAGUUCUGCGGUCAUCAACACAGGACUUUCAAGAUCACCUAGGCAUCAUUUUCACCCAGGGAAGCUGGAAGCAGGGAAAAGGGGAAGGAGCAUAUUUGAGAGGCUUUUGGAAGUCAGACCAGGAGAUGGGACACGACUUCCACUCACAUUCCAUCAGCUGGUACUCAGGCACAGAGACACAGCCAUCUGCAAGAAGCUGAGAGAUAUAACCUGCCCGAGUGCCCAGAAGAAAGGAACCCAGAAUUUGGAGAAUACCUAGCAAUCUCUGCCAAGGGUCAUGUUUCUGUAAUCAUUUCUUACUAUGCACAGAAUAAGAGUUGAGUUAGUGUUAGCUUCUUCCCUUCUCUCAUUCCUUUCUCACUUUUUCUCUUGCUAUCAUCCAUUCUACUAUAUAAAUAAUAUUUCUCAUAUCAGAUAUUACCAUUGAUCACAGAAUGAAAACUCUUCAAAUGAUAUCAGAACAGCAAAACAGAGAUGAGAUGAUUUUUAUAAAAAACAACCUCUUGCCAAGAAGGGAUUUAGGUUUACUUAUAUUUGUUAUUUUAAUUAUGAUCAUAAUUACCUCUUUUCUAAGACAUCAUUGGCUACAGAAUACUUGACUUGCUAAAC
rnacentral:lncRNA from 1 species